GGGCGUAAGCGUACGUAGGCGGAUCAGAAAGUAUGGGGUGAAAUCCCAGGGCUCAACCCUGGAACUGCCUCAUAAACUCCUGGUCUUGAGUUCGAGAGAGGUGAGUGGAAUUCCAAGUGUAGAGGUGAAAUUCGUAGAUAUUUGGAGGAACACCAGUGGCGAAGGCGGCUCACUGGCUCGAUACUGACGCUGAGGUACGAAAGUGUGGGGAGCAAACAGGAUUAGAUACCCUGGUAGUCCACACCGUAAACGAUGAAUGCCAGUCGUCGGGUAGCAUGCUAUUCGGUGACACACCUAACGGAUUAAGCAUUCCGCCUGGGGAGUACGGUCGCAAGAUUAAAACUCAAAGGAAUUGACGGGGGCCCGCACAAGCGGUGGAGCAUGUGGUUUAAUUC
rnacentral:rRNA from 1 species